GCGGGAACAGCGGGUCAGGCAGGUUCCCGGUACUGCGUCAAUGGCCUCAUGGCAGCGAUGUCGUCAUGCGGGGAGUGGUGAGCCGGCGAGGGUAGUGCCAGACGCCCGUGCUGAAGCCCACUGCCGACCUUGACUCUCGGAUCGCCACGUCGCUGCCCUCGCCGCCGAUCCCUGCCGCGUAAGUCUUGCUCGCCCUGUUAACGAGCCCAUCUCACGGACGUCCUCGCUGCCGCAUCACCUGCUGACGCCCUUCUGUUCUCUACUGCACGUCGCUGCAACUCCGGUCGUGUUCGCCGCCUCGUCUGCUGGUGACUGCCGCCUGACGUCCUCGCUGCAUCUCGUCUCAUUUACCACACCUGCUGCCCUGGUGACCCCGGCACGAAUGGGCAAGCCUUGCCUGUCGAACGUAACGCAAUCUUCCUCUCCCGAAAUGACGAAUCCUUUCCGCCAACGACGUGAUCCUGAUUCUUUCAAGACCUAGUUCUCACGGUUCUCCGCUCAAUCCUCGUUUCCAUCGCGAACAGCUUGUUCUAGAAUCUUGUAGACUGGUGUGCGUGUCAUUUACAAGUGAACUGUGUCUUCCAGCGAUCCUGUGGAACGGUUGACGAGCUCCGUGAAUGACCACUACUGCUGCUUCCGUCAAGACCACCUACGCUUCAGAACAGUGACCUGUGCGAACAAGCUCCCUAGGCCGCCGACCUUAGAAGUCAACUGUGCGACCUUCUUUGCUCCUCAAUUGCAAGGACCGAGACUCCUUGCAACACCGCCGUCGAGACUUCAUCUUCAGCACCACCCACCACAGCCAGGACGAUCCUGGUUAGGUGGCAAUAUAGUGACCUGUUCUCGUGAUCUCGCUCGCCUCACAUACCAGAAAAAAGAAACACAUGUUUCUUAUCUCACAGUAAUUCUAUUGUUAUCCCUUAUUGCUCGUAAACAAUACCCAUGCUGUUAUCCUGAUGUCUUUGUGUAUAAUUAUAUCUGGUUUGUACUCAAAAUGUUCAUUAGAAAAUGCUUAUCCUGAAUCACUAAGUAUGUUAUCGCUAUUAUUAUCUAUAUUCAAAUGUUUUUAUGUUUUAUGAGUACUCAGUAUUUCUGCCUCCUUGUCACGAAGCUGUUUAGUCUUGUCAACACCAUAACUCUCUUUUCACAUACAACAGUAUAUUAGGUACACCACGAAACCAUCAUGUGACCAUAGAUAUCUGAGUUUGUAUUAAUUCAGAUUAUUUCAUGUUUUCCAUUAUGAAAUGUUUAAAACAGAACGACCUGUAUCGACUGCUCAGAAAUUGUUCAUAGCAACUGAGUAUUAAACACAGGCCGCUCGCCCUUACGGGCAUGGCAAGACGCCCCAUUCCUCCCUGGGCGCCUCUGCCUUGCCUGUCCUCUGUAGGACCAAACUCCCGCAGUAAAAAAUAUAAAAAUUUC